rnacentral:rRNA from 1 species
UACGUAGGGUGCGAGCGUUAAUCGGAAUUACUGGGCGUAAAGCGUGCGCAGGCGGUGAUGUAAGACAGUUGUGAAAUCCCCGGGCUCAACCUGGGAACUGCAUCUGUGACUGCAUCGCUAGAGUACGGCAGAGGGGGAUGGAAUUCCGCGUGUAGCAGUGAAAUGCGUAGAUAUGCGGAGGAACACCGAUGGCGAAGGCAAUCCCCUGGGCCUGUACUGACGCUCAUGCACGAAAGCGUGGGGAGCAAACAGG